rnacentral:rRNA from 1 species
CUUAUAGACCUUCCUGGAGGAGCUUGCUAUCUAACCGAUAACCCACGUUAAACCUUACCAGCCCUUGAACACCAGCCUGUAUACCAUCGUCGUCAGCCUACCCCCCAAGGAAAGUAUACAAAAUGGGCCAAAAUUCCCACUACGCCAGAUCGAGGUGCAGCUUAUGGGCUGGGGAUCAGUGAGCUACAAUGAUAAAACAAUAACACCUAAAAUAAAAUUUUGAAUAAACCAAAGAAUCUUUGUUUUGAAACUGGAUUCAGCAGUAACAACUAACAGAAAAUAGUUGUGAACCUUUAGCUCUAUAAUGCGC